UACGGAGGGGCUAGCGUUGUUCGGAAUUACUGGGCGUAAAGCGCACGUAGGCGGACUGUUAAGUCGGGGGUGAAAUCCUGGGGCUCAACCUCAGAAUUGCCUCCGAUACUGGCAGUCUCGAGUGCGGGAGAGGUGAGUGGAAUUCCCAGUGUAGAGGUGAAAUUCGUAGAUAUUGGGAAGAACACCAGUGGCGAAGGCGGCUCACUGGCCCGUAACUGACGCUGAGGUGCGAAAGCGUGGGGAGCAAACAGG
rnacentral:rRNA from 1 species